rnacentral:rRNA from 1 species
GGUUAAGCGACUAAGCGUACACGGUGGAUGCCCUGGCAGUCAGAGGCGAUGAAGGACGUGCUAAUCUGCGAUAAGCGUCGGUAAGGUGAUAUGAACCGUUAUAACCGGCGAUUUCCGAAUGGGGAAACCCAGUGUGUUUCGACACACUAUCAUUAACUGAAUCCAUAGGUUAAUGAGGCGAACCGGGGGAACUGAAACAUCUAAGUACCCCGAGGAAAAGAAAUCAACCGAGAUUCCCCCAGUAGCGGCGAGCGAACGGGGAGCAGCCCAGAGCCUGAAUCAGUGUGUGUGUUAGUGGAAGCGUCUGGAAAGGCGUGCGAUACAGGGUGACAGCCCCGUACACAAAAAUGCACAUGCUGUGAGCUCGAUGAGUAGGGCGGGACACGUGGUAUCCUGUCUGAAUAUGGGGGGACCAUCCUCCAAGGCUAAAUACUCCUGACUGACCGAUAGUGAACCAGUACCGUGAGGGAAAGGCGAAAAGAACCCCGGCGAGGGGAGUGAAAAAGAACCUGAAACCGUGUACGUACAAGCAGUGGGAGCACGCUUAGGCGUGUGACUGCGUACCUUUUGUAUAAUGGGUCAGCGACUUAUAUUCUGUAGCAAGGUUAACCGAAUAGGGGAGCCGAAGGGAAACCGAGUCUUAACUGGGCGUUAAGUUGCAGGGUAUAGACCCGAAACCCGGUGAUCUAGCCAUGGGCAGGUUGAAGGUUGGGUAACACUAACUGGAGGACCGAACCGACUAAUGUUGAAAAAUUAGCGGAUGACUUGUGGCUGGGGGUGAAAGGCCAAUCAAACCGGGAGAUAGCUGGUUCUCCCCGAAAGCUAUUUAGGUAGCGCCUCGUGAAUUCAUCUCCGGGGGUAGAGCACUGUUUCGGCAAGGGGGUCAUCCCGACUUACCAACCCGAUGCAAACUGCGAAUACCGGAGAAUGUUAUCACGGGAGACACACGGCGGGUGCUAACGUCCGUCGUGAAGAGGGAAACAACCCAGACCGCCAGCUAAGGUCCCAAAGUCAUGGUUAAGUGGGAAACGAUGUGGGAAGGCCCAGACAGCCAGGAUGUUGGCUUAGAAGCAGCCAUCAUUUAAAGAAAGCGUAAUAGCUCACUGGUCGAGUCGGCCUGCGCGGAAGAUGUAACGGGGCUAAACCAUGCACCGAAGCUGCGGCAGCGACGCUGAUGCGUUGUUGGGUAGGGGAGCGUUCUGUAAGCCUGCGAAGGUGUGCUGUGAGGCAUGCUGGAGGUAUCAGAAGUGCGAAUGCUGACAUAAGUAACGAUAAAGCGGGUGAAAAGCCCGCUCGCCGGAAGACCAAGGGUUCCUGUCCAACGUUAAUCGGGGCAGGGUGAGUCGACCCCUAAGGCGAGGCCGAAAGGCGUAGUCGAUGGGAAACAGGUUAAUAUUCCUGUGCU